GACCAGACUCCUACGGGAGGCAGCAGUGGGGAAUAUUGCACAAUGGGGGAAACCCUGAUGCAGCGACGCCGCGUGAGUGAAGAAGUAUUUCGGUAUGUAAAGCUCUAUCAGCAGGGAAGAAAUAGCGACCUUUGGGUCGCCAGACGGUACCUAACUAAGAAGCCCCGGCUAACUACGUGCCAGCAGCCGCGGUAAUACGUAGGGGGCAAGCGUUAUCCGGAUUUACUGGGUGUAAAGGGAGCGUAGACGGCAGCACAAGUCUGAAGUGAAAUGCCGGGGCUUAACCCCGGAACUGCUUUGGAAACUGUGCAGCUAGAGUGCAGGAGAGGUAAGUGGAAUUCCUAGUGUAGCGGUGAAAUGCGUAGAUAUUGGGAGGAACACCAGUGGCGAAGGCGGCCUGCUGGACAUUAACUGACGCUGAGGCGCGAAAGCGUGGGGAGCAAACAGGAUUAGAUACCCUAGUAU
rnacentral:rRNA from 1 species